AGUAAAAGUCGUAACAAGGUUUCCGUAGGUGAACCUCGCGGAAGGAUCAUUAUUGAAAUAAACCUGAUGGGGUUGUUGCUGGUUCUCUAGGGAGCAUGUGCACACCUUGUCAUCUUUACAUCUCCACCUGUGCACCUUUUGUAGGCCUUCCAGGUCUAUGUUGCUUUUUCAUUUACCCCAAUGUAUGUUAAUAGAAUGUUGUGCAUAUAAAAAUCUAUACAACUUUCAGCAACGGAUCUCUUGGCUCUCGCAUCGAUGAAGAACGCAGCGAAAUGCGAUAAGUAAUGUGAAUUGCAGAAUUCAGUGAAUCAUCGAAUCUUUGAACGCACCUUGCGCUCCUUGGUAUUCCGAGGAGCAUGCCUGUUUGAGUGUCAUUAAUAUAUAUCAACCUUCUCAUUUCUGAGUGGUUUGGAUGUGGGGGUUUGCUGGCCUCUUAAAUGAGUUCAGCUCCUCUGAAAUGCAUUAGCAGAACAACCCCUGUUCAUUGGCGUGAUAACUAUCUAUGCUAUUGAAUGUGAGGGACAGUUCAGCUUUCUAACGGUCCUUGGACAACUUAUCAUUUAUGUGACCUCAAAUCAGGUAGGACUACCCGCUGAACUUAAGCAUAUCAAUAAGC
rnacentral:rRNA from 1 species